GUGCUUGCUUCAGCAGCACAUAUUCUAAAAUUGGAAAAAUACAGAGAAGAUUAGCAUGGCCCCUGUGCAAAGAUGACACAAAUUCAUGAAGCAUUCUAUAUUUUU
rnacentral:snRNA from 1 species